UAAAGUGGUAUGGACUUUUGGUUCUGGUGAUUGCACCAAGUCAUUUAUAACACCAAUCACUGCCAAAGGCCCCACACGAUCGCUACUUGGUUUGACAUCCAAAAGCCAGUUUAGACAACUCUGGAUAUGCAUCCAUUUACAUAGUUCUGGUAAACUCUCAUUUCCGCUUGCGAAUCCCAUAACGUACAAUGUAUGAACAGGCAAUCCUGGUCCAAACUCAGCUUCCUCCACUAACUUGAAAAAUCUCCAGUCUCUUUUAUCAACUGCCUUAAUUCCCACUUGCUCCAAUACCCUGCUAAUAGCUGGUUCAAUAUCGUAUUUCCUGAAAUUGAACUUGGGCAAAAGCGACUCCACGCCUUCAAUCGCUAUUCCAGUCUCCAAUUCUCCGUCUAGAACGUUUAAUUUAGUUGAUGGCAAGUCCCAUAGAUCAGAAUCAACGAAUGAGUCAUACUCUUCAUCGAAGAAUUUUGGAGGUGGGGUUUGCUUUACCAGCAGAAAUUCGUUCUCAUUUAAGCAGUUCUUGAGGAUAAGAGCGAGAUUGUAAGUGGCCAUGUUUGCUAUGUCAAGAGUGAGAGAAGAGUGAGGGUUUUAGAGAUUGGCAGAUGGAGAAUUAAGGAGGAAGUUGCACCAAAA
rnacentral:misc_RNA from 1 species